UGAUAAUGGAUAAUCAAACAAUGAAGACUGCCGUAUACAAAAACCCCACACGUCAACCAGUGCUAAUACCUAGCUGGUCGCCAGACUCAACAUCAUACAAGAAGGCUGCUUUCAGAUCAUUAUUUAGAAGAACACUCCUAUACUGCACAGAGCACCAAGAACAGAAAAAAGAACUAGAGUUUAUAUAGCAAACAAGGUACCGAUAUGGAUACAAAAAAUGGUUUUUGGAACAUAUAUACAUGGAAGUUGAAAAGGCACUGCAAAAGAAAGCAACAAGAUAAUACUAGUCAAAACAUAGACCCUCCACCAAAACAAGACUAUAUAACAGUACCUUUAUACACUAAGCAACAUGAAAUUCACAAAAAAUCUAGCAAGAUGCACGAGAAGAAGAAUAGCAUACAGAAGAAUGCCAAAUAAUAGCCUAAGGAAUGAGAAGGAUAAACUGAAUAGCAACUGAAUAGAUCACAGCACUUCUUGCAGUAUGGGAAAAAUUCGCUUUUAUUAACAAUCGACCAG
rnacentral:lncRNA from 1 species